rnacentral:rRNA from 1 species
AUUGAACGCUGGCGGCAUGCUUUACACAUGCAAGUCGAACGGUAACAGGUUAAGCUGACGAGCGGCGAACGGGUGAGUAAUGCAUCGGAACGUGCCCGAUCGUGGGGGAUAACGCAGCGAAAGCUGCGCUAAUACCGCAUACGAUCUGAGGAUGAAAGCGGGGGACCGUAAGGCCUCGCGCGAUCGGAGCGGCCGAUGUCAGAUUAGGUAGUUGGUGGGGUAAAGGCUCACCAAGCCGACGAUCUGUAGCUGGUCUGAGAGGACGACCAGCCACACUGGGACUGAGACACGGCCCAGACUCCUACGGGAGGCAGCAGUGGGGAAUUUUGGACAAUGGGCGAAAGCCUGAUCCAGCAAUGCCGCGUGCAGGAAGAAGGCCUUCGGGUUGUAAACUGCUUUUGUACGGAGCGAAAAGGCUCUCUCUAAUACAGGGGGCUCAUGUCGGUACCGUAAGAAUAAGCACCGGCUAACUACGUGCCAGCCGCCGCAGUAAAAC